rnacentral:lncRNA from 1 species
GCUGACGGCCGGCUCUCUCCUUUCCCUGCGGCUCACCAGGGCAGAAGCAGCUCCCCGCCGCUGGGACCCCCGCGGGGUUUGUCGCCGAGCGAAGGUGGCGCGGCAGCUGAAGGGAGGAAAGCUGCAGCUGGCGUGCUGCAGUCGCAGGUUUCCCAGGAGAAAGAGCAGCCCGUCUGUCCAGCUUUCAGAGUUGUCCUAGAAAUAAACCGGUGCUUGCGGGGCUUUCCAGAACGCUGGUUGUGGUCGGUCAAGACAGACGUGAGAGGCAAUUUCUGCCUGUCUGUCUGUCUAUUGGUUAUGUCCCGAGAGUUUUGCUUGAACUGUGUGCAACAAAAGAAGCCUUGGGCCCGUACUGAGCAGCGAGAGAAAGCAAAACUCCAGAAGACUUACUUCAGCAUCAAAUAA